rnacentral:tRNA from 1 species
UCAAAAUGUAGCUUAAUAAAAGCCUUUCGCUUACACCGAAAAAAUGUCUGUUGAACUCAGAUCACUUUGA